rnacentral:lncRNA from 1 species
AGGGAUCUUACGGUCAAAAUUGGGGUCUUACAACAUGAUUUGAAGAAAUAAAUGACAAGUAAAAAAAAGAAAAUGUGAUAAAUAAUAAAGUAAAAAAAGAAAAUUAAAAAUAAAUAAAAAUCAAAUAGAAUAAGAAUAAAAUAUAAAAGAUAAACAAAUUAGAAGAAAAUAAAAUAAAUAAAUAAGUAAAAAAAGGUGAAAAAUAUUAAAGGGUGAAAAAUAAAGAAAAUAAAAUAAAUAAAAGUAAAAUAAGAAAAGAAAAGAAAUAAACUAAAUAAAUAAAAAGAGAAAAAAUAAAAUAAAUUGAAAAAAAGGGUGUAGAAGAGAAAAUAAGAGCCCAAAUAGAAAAAGGGAUAAGCCCAUGGGCGUUGAGGCC